CCUACGGGCGGCAGCAGUAGGGAAUAUUGCACAAUGGGGGAAACCCUGAAGCAGCAACGCCGCGUGGAGGAUGAAGGUUUUCGGAUUGUAAACUCCUUUUGUUAGAGAAGAUAAUGACGGUAUCUAACGAAUAAGCCCCGGAUAACUCCGUGCCAGCAGCCGAGGUAAUACGGAGGGUGAAAGCGUUACUCGGAAUCAAUGGGGGGAAAGAGCGCGGAGGCGGGAUAGCAAGUCAGAUGUGAAAUCCUAUGGCUUAACCAUAGAACUGCAUUUGAAACUGUUAUUCUAGAGUAUGGGAGAGGUAGGUGGAAUUCUUGGUGUAGGGGUAAAAUCCGUAGAGAUCAAGAGGAAUACUCAUUGCGAAGGCGACCUGCUAGAACAUAACUGACGCUGAUGCGCGAAAGCGUGGGGAGCAAACAGGAUUAGAUACCCCUGUAGUC
rnacentral:rRNA from 1 species